UAACCAGAAGCUUCAAAUCUUCUUUCAAAGCAGGAAUAGAGUCCAACCGUAAAAAUAAUAUCGUGCAACCUUGAAUAAUUUGAAGAUCAUUAUUGGUUAGGAAAAAUUUUUUUAAAUUAUUAAUUAGAAGUUCAAAAUGUCUGGAAAGUUGAGGGUCUGUCAUUUCUGUCAAAUCCAUUGAGAAUAACAAACGAAGAGAAUCAUGAAGAAGUGUUGGUGAAGCAGAAUUUCUCUCAGUUAUUGAAUUAAUGUAAGGAAGAAGAUUCAAAUAAAGUAAGUCCUUAUCUUUAUUUUGAUCGUUGGUCGUUUCCGCCGCUUGCUUAUUAUGCACCGUUUUAGGUGUGAUAAAAUUGUUAUUACAGACAGUUUGGAUUGAAGCAGAGAGAAGCUGUAAAAGAAUAGAUUCCUGAAAAUCAUUUAGCUUGCAGAAAGAAAGUAUACUGUCUAUCGGAUCUUUUAGAGUCGAGGUAUAAUUAUCAAAAAGUACGAAGUUGCUAAUAUCCUCCCAUGACUGAUAGAUUGAAUCAAUUUCACAUGCAUUAAGUAAAGCUUG